UACGUAGGGUGCGAGCGUUGUCCGGAAUUAUUGGGCGUAAAGAGCUCGUAGGCGGCUUGUCGCGUCGGAUGUGAAAGCCCGGGGCUUAACUCCGGGUCUGCAUUCGAUACGGGCAGGCUAGAGUUCGGUAGGGGAGAUCGGAAUUCCUGGUGUAGCGGUGAAAUGCGCAGAUAUCAGGAGGAACACCGGUGGCGAAGGCGGAUCUCUGGGCCGAUACUGACGUGAGGAGCGAAAGCGUGGGGAGCGAACAGG
rnacentral:rRNA from 1 species